CGCCCCCUAGCUUUCAUUGUAUGUCGUCACACCCAGAACAGAACCAGGAAGUCAGAGGUGAUUGUGUUGCAGUUCAGCAGGCCUGAUUUAAGUCAGCGGGUACGGGCAUUCACCUGUUGUGGAAGUGAUUGUUCCUCCCAACAAACUGGCAGUCUUCCUGUAGAACUGAUUGAGCUUUCAGCUUCCUGGAACCUGGCUUAAAUGCCCUUCUGGUGAGACUUGGUGCCACAUUGCACGGAGCCGGGUGCUUAUGGCAGCGGUGGAAUUCUAGUUUUUCCUAUUUGAGUGGUUGGAAUACGAGCACGUGUGUGUGGUGAGUCACUUGUGAUUGCAAGUUGCUGUGCUG